rnacentral:rRNA from 1 species
UAACGCGAAGAACCUUACCUGGACUUGACAUCCCUAGAACUUGGCAGAAAUGUCUUGGUGCCUUCGGGAACUAGGAGACAGGUGCUGCAUGGCUGUCGUCAGCUCGUGUCGUGAGAUGUUGGGUUAAGUCCCGCAACGAGCGCAACCCACGUUGUUAGUUGCCAUCAUUUAGUUGGGCACUCUAACGAGACCGCCGGUGUUAAACCGGAGGAAGGUGUGGACGACGUCAUGUCAUCAUGGCCCUUAUGUCCAGGGCUACACACGUGUUACAAUGGCUGGUACAAUGUGUCGCUACCUAGCAAUAGGAUGCUAAUCACUCAAAACCAGUCUCAGUUCGGAUUGCAGGCUGCAACUCGCCUGCAUGAAGUCGGAAUCGCUAGUAAACGCAGAUCAGCAUUGCUGCGUUGAAUACGUUCUCGGGUCUUGUACACACGC